rnacentral:rRNA from 1 species
AUUGAACGCUGGCGGCAGGCUUAACACAUGCAAGUCGAACGAGUAGCGGACGGGUGAGUAAUGCUUGGGAAUCUGGCUUAUGGAGGGUGAUAACUACGGGCAACUGUAGCUAAUACCGCGUACCAUAGGAUGAGCCCACGUGGGAUUAGUUAGUUGGUGAGGUAAAGGCUCACCAAGCCGACGAUCUCUAGCUGGGCUGAGAGGAUGACCAGCCACACUGGGACUGAGACACGGCCCAAACUCCUACGGGAGGCAGCAGUGGGGAAUCUUCCGCAAUGGACGAAAGUUGAUGGAGCAACGCCGCGUGAGUGAUGACGGCCUUCGGGUUGUAAAGCUCUGUUAAUCGGGAGACGGUACCGGAAUAGAAAGCCACGGCUAACUACGUGCCAGCAGCCGCGGUAAUUC